CGGCGAGCGAGCCGCGCAAAGCCCAACUUGAAAAUCUCCCUUGGAGAAUUGUAGUCUAUGAAGUACCCUCUGUAACGGGCGCAGCUCAAGUCUCCUGGAAAGGGGCGUCAGAGAGGGUGAGAACCCCGUAAGCUGUUGCUUCGUUGCCUCACGAGGUGCUUUCAAAGAGUCGGGUUGCUUGGGAAUGCAGCCCAAAUUUGGUGGUAAAUCCCAUCUAAGGCUAAAUAUUGGCGAGAGACCGAUAGCGAACAAGUACCGUGAGGGAAAGAUGAAAAGAACUUUGAAAAGAGAGUUAAAAAGUGCUUGAAAUUGUUGAGGGGGAAGCGUUUGAAUGCUAGAGUGCGCCUAGGCUUAUGGGUUCUUAACGGAGCUCUGUAUGUGCUAGGUGCUGGCCAGCAUGGGUUAGGCGAGCGGGAUAAACGCUGGGGUUGAUACCCGGUCUAUGCCGCUUGCUUGACCAAGGCGUGAAGACUGCCCUUGUCCUUCGGGAACUGCAGUCUCAAGAUGCUGGCAAAAAGCUUUCAACCGACCCGUCUUGAAACACGGACCAAGGAGUCUAACAUGUAUGCGAGUUGGUGGGUGGAAAACCCAUGAAGCGUAAGGAAACUGACUGGUGAGAUGGCCUGUGCCUGCAUCAUCGACCGACCAUGCGUUUCUGCAAAAGGUUUGAGUGCGAGCAUACCUGUUGGGACCCGAAAGAUGGUGAACUAUGCCUGAGCAGGGUGAAGCCAGGUGAAAACCUGGUGGAGGCUCGUAGAUGUGCUGACGUGCAAAUCGCUUUUUCGGACUUGGGUAUAGGGGCGAAAGACUAAUCGAACCUUCUAGUA
rnacentral:rRNA from 1 species